rnacentral:lncRNA from 1 species
UUUCGUUGUUUAAAUGUUUCUGGCUAAAUGCAAAGUGACACUCAAGACCCCGUGAGCGUCCUGCCACCCAUAGUCCAGCGCCCCACUCCACCCCCACCCCCAUUUGGAUGUGACCAGCGGGAUCCAGCCAGGGCGUGCCCCAGAGCUGACAGCAGCUCCAUUUCCCCACACCCUGGAGCACUCAGAGCCAGUGACAAGAGUCUGCCCUCCCGGGGUCUUGGCGCCCUGUGGAAGGGACUAAGUACCUCAGUGCCACCAGUAGGAGAUUCUGUAGCCCCUUUGCCUUCCCUGUGAGGCAGAGGACAUGGAUCUUGUCUUGACUCUGCCUUGGAAGUAGCAGGUGUGGCCCCAGGACACAGGAGGUUCCACUUGGGGUUAAAAAUUGAAUUAAUUAAAGGCCUUCCACUUUUUCCAAAAUCGAGAAUAAAAACCAUUCCUCCUUCCUCUUUCUUACUCCCUUCCUCCUCCUCUCCCUCCUUCCUUCUCCCCCUCCUUUCUUUCAUUCUUCCCUCCUUUUUCCCCCUCCCCUUCUUAUAUUCACUUCUCUCUUCUUCCUUGGUUCUUCCCUCCCUCCUCCCUCUUUCCUCUCUACCUCCUCCUUCUCCUGUCUCCCUUUCUUCCUCCCUCUUUCCUUGUCUGAGCUAAAGGAGAAAUAUUCUAAACCAAAAAUCCUAGAUGCUCUACCCAAAGCCACUUCUGUGUGGGGAAUGCCACCCUCAUGGUCCACAGAAGGGACCACAUCAGUAGACUGCACCAUCUCCUCCCUGGCACCAAACGAGUGAAGAGGACAGAGGCCACAUGUCACCAAUUGAACUUCUUGGAAGGUGCCACCCAACAGAAGACAGGGGACCAGGCUGGCUCUGUACCGCAGCUGUGCUCCCUUAAGCCAUAAGGACUUGAUUGCUUUAAUCAAUGGGGAAUCUUUGGGAUGGUCUGUUCUGAGGUGACACUCUAGCCCACCUUGCACUUCCUCCCAAUGACUCAGCAGUUUGCAGCGGUGCCUGGGUCUCCUUUAGGAUCAGUAACUUGUUUUCUAUGGAAAGGUCUGUUCAGGAUGCCCUGGCCCUAUGGCUGUUGGUCGACAGCAGUCAGCAGCUGUCUCAAGCCUGAGACUUAGAGCAAUGCUUCUCAACAUGUGAAUGGAGACCCCUUGGGAGUCAAACGACCCUUUCACAGGGGUUGCAUAUCAGAUAUCUUGCAUAUCAGACAUUUACACUGCAAUUCAUAACAGUAGCAAAAUUACAAUAGUUACGAAGUAGCAACGAAAGUAAUUUUAAUGGUGGGGGGGGGGGCAUCACCACAACAUGAGGAACUCUAUUAAAGGGUCACAGCAUUAGGAAGGAUAAAAACCACUGACUUAGAGGGACCCUGUCCCAUUCAAAUCCCUGCACCAAAGGCAGAGGGAGGAUUUCCAGUUAGAUUUCAGCCUCUGGAGUCACAGGGCAUUGGCAAAAGUCCUUCCUACCUGUUGGGAUGGGACGGACACAUUACGCAGCUGCGAAACGGACACUGGAUCCAAGGCUGGCUUCUAAGAAAAGAUCCAAACAGGCAGGAUGCGGGCACCCUCCUGACUUCUCCUGUCAUGGUGUGUUUGCAUAGAGGUUCUUAGCAUGGGUUUUCAUUACCCCUGGAUUCCUGGCUCACAGCAUGGCUGCUUUCCUGCUGAGCCCCAGCCCUAGACUAGCAGCAAGGGACCAGUCUGAGAGGCCAGAACAGUGUGGGGUUCCCAACAGGGAGCUCCCAACCCCACCUGCUGGCUUAGGGGAGUCCCUAGGCUUUCCCUAUAAAACUUCCAAAAUGGCACAGAAAACCAGAUCCCAUUAUAGAUUU